rnacentral:rRNA from 1 species
CCUACGGGAGGCAGCAGUGAGGAAUAUUGGUCAAUGGACGAGAGUCUGAACCAGCCAAGUAGCGUGAAGGAUGACUGCCCUAUGGGUUGUAAACUUCUUUUAUAUGGGAAUAAAAUGUUCCACGUGUGGGAUUUUGUAUGUACCAUAUGAAUAAGGAUCGGCUAACUCCGUGCCAGCAGCCGCGGUAAUACGGAGGAUCCGAGCGUUAUCCGGAUUGAUUGGGUGUAAAGGGAGCGUAGGUGGAUUGUUAAGUCAGUUGUGAAAGUUUGCGGCUCAACCGUAAAAUUGCAGUUGAAACUGGCAGUCUUGAGUACAGUAGAGGUGGGCGGAAUUCGUGGUGUAGCGGUGAAAUGCUUAGAUAUCACGAAGAACUCCGAUUGCGAAGGCAGCUCACUGGACUGCAACUGACACUGAGGCUCGAAAGUGUGGGUAUCAAACAGGAUUAGAUACCCGGGUAGUC